rnacentral:rRNA from 1 species
AUACGGAGGGUCCAAGCGUUAUCCGGAUUUAUUGGGUUUAAAGGGUCCGCAGGCGGAAAAAUAAGUCAGUGGUGAAAUCCUAUCGCUUAACGAUAGAACUGCCAUUGAUACUGUUUUUCUUGAGUAUACUUGAAGUGGGCGGAAUGUGUCAUGUAGCGGUGAAAUGCAUAGAUAUGACACAGAACACCGAUUGCGAAGGCAGCUCACUAAAUUAUAACUGACGCUCAUGGACGAAAGCGUGGGGAGCAAACAGGAUUAGAUACCCUGGUAGUCCACGCCGUAAACGAUGAUUACUCGGUGCUAGCGAUAUACGGUUAGUGCCUAAGCGAAAGCGAUAAGUAAUCCACCUGGGGAAUACGGUCGCAAGAUUGAA